GCACAAAGAGUGGGCAGUUCUUAGGACUGGGGCAAAAGGGUGGGGAAGAGCAGGGUUGUGGGUGAACUCCCAUCAGAGAUUCCUAGAAGGGACUGUCCAGCUGGAAGCCACUGGGGCAGAGAAAAGGGGUUGGUGACAAAAGGAAGGUGAUGAGGGGAAGAAGGCAGUAGCAAUCCCCUUCCUCUCUCUUCCUCUGUCACAUCCUCUCAGCCUGCAGGUACUAAUUUAGCAUCUCCUCUACCUGUCCCCCUCAUCACAAGUGCUACUUCCCAAGCUUGCCAUCUGGACUGCCAGCUCAUCUCUAUCCUCUCCCAACACCCAUUCUCCAUCUUGAAGCCAGAGUCAAAAUGAUCUUAUCACUCUCCUGCUUUUUUUCUUUUUUCUUUUUCUUUUUUUUUUUGAGACAGAGUCUUGCUCCAUGGUCCAGGCUGGAGUGCAGUGGCAUGAUCAUGGCUCACUGCAACCCCUAACUUCUAGCCCCAGGUGAUCCUCCCACUUCAGCCUCCUGAGUAGCUGGAACUACAGACAUGUGCCACCACACCCAGCUAAUUUUUUCUUUUUAAGUUUUUAGUAGAGACAAGGUCAUGCUGCGUUGACAAGGCUGGUGCUGGGAUUACAGCAGGCGUGAGCCACCGGCCCUGGCCUUGUCAUUCUCCUGCUUGAAAGUGACUCCCAGUUGCCCUGAGGAUAAAAUCCAAUCUGAUAACCACAGCCUCUAAGGCUGUCUAUAAUCUAGUUGCUCCCUGCACCUCCAGCAUGGCCCCCACCUCGCCUCUUACCACUUUGGCCUCUGCACUGCGCCCCUGACAUGCUGGACUUCUGGCAGUUUCCCACAUAGUCCAAGUUUGCAUUCAUUUCCUUUCCUUUGUGCCUGCAUUGGUUGCACAGGCCUCACCUCCUUUGGGAAACCUUUACUCACCCCCAGUUUGCCACACUGUAGUGCACUGUGAUCUGCUGGACUGGGGACCUUUUUUUUUUGAGACAGGGUUUCACUCUCUCACCCAGACUGGAGUGCAGUGGUAUGAUCAUGGCUUACUGCAGCCUCGCCCUCCCAGACUCAAGCCAUCCUCUCCUCUCAGCCUCCUGAGUAGCUGGGGACUACAGGCACACACCACGAAGCCCCACUAAUUUUUUUUUUUCUUUUCUAUUUUUUGUAGAGAUGGAGUUUCAAAAUGUUGCCCAGGCUGGUCUUGAACUCCUGGGCUCAAGUAAUCCUUCUGCCUUGGCCUCCCAGAAUGCUGGGAUUACAAGCAUGAGCCACCACACCCAGCCAGGACGUUUUUUGUCUUACAAGUACUUUUAUUAGCACCUAAACUUAACAGUGUGAAUUUGAACAUAAUAUGUAUCCAUAUAUAGAGUGUAUCAAGGAGGUUUUCCAGAAAUUAUGAAGUUAAAAAAUAUAAAAUUAUAAAGUUAUUUUUAAAAACUACUUUAAAUGCAAUUAUCUAUUUCAGUACAGUAGUUGAUUCCCCCCUUUAAAUUUUUUUUUUUUAAGACAGAGUCUCGCUCUCUUGCCCAGGCUGGAGCACAGUGGUGCAAUCUCAGAUCACUGCAAGCUCCGCCUCCCGGGCCUCAGUCUGCAGAGACACAGAAGCAAAUGACUUUAUGAAGCUCCUGACUGUAUGAAGUUCUCAGUCAAACAAAGUAGUACCUCUUCUGCCCAUCUCAGAGGUAGAUGAGGGUAAAGUGAAAUAACGGAAAGCACAAGGAACAGUAAAAGGCAAAUGUCAAGAAGCUGUUUGCAAAGUUACCAAGAUGUAAAAUUAGAUUUUACUUAUUAAUAAUCAUGUCACUUGUUAUUCUGUUUAUAAUGGUCAGUUCACUGCUGAUAUUCAAGUGGACCAUUUAAACUGUAUUUUUGCUCAACUAUCCUUCCAAAUUAAAUAUCUCAAAAUCUUGACUGUU